AUUGAACGCUGGCGGCAGGCCUAACACAUGCAAGUCGAACGGUAACAGGAAGAAGCUUGCUUCUUUGCUGACGAGUGGCGGACGGGUGAGUAAUGUCUGGGAAACUGCCUGAUGGAGGGGGAUAACUACUGGAAACGGUAGCUAAUACCGCAUAAUGUCGCAAGACCAAAGAGGGGGACCUUCGGGCCUCUUGCCAUCGGAUGUGCCCAGAUGGGAUUAGCUAGUAGGUGGGGUAACGGCUCACCUAGGCGACGAUCCCUAGCUGGUCUGAGAGGAUGACCAGCCACACUGGAACUGAGACACGGUCCAGACUCCUACGGGAGGCAGCAGUGGGGAAUAUUGCACAAUGGGCGCAAGCCUGAUGCAGCUAUGCCGCGUGUAUGAAGAAGGCCUUCGGGUUGUAAAGUACUUUCAGCGGGGAGGAAGGGAGUAAAGUUAAUACCUUUGCUCAUUGACGUUGCCCGCAGAAGAAGCACCGGCUAACUCCGUG
rnacentral:rRNA from 1 species